AGGUGAGUCGUUGCGUCGUCUUCAUGCGUUAACAAGCAGUUUCUACUCUACAGAUGGGUGGAACAUUAAGCCUGUGUGCCGUCUCCGGGCCCAGUGUGUUUGAGAGGGAAUCACCUGUCAGCAGGCAGACUCGUGUCAUCAGACAGAAGCUGCUCUCCUGGAGGAAGGAAGAGGAGGAAUAACUCAUGGAAACAAAAGUGCGCGUACAAAAA